GGAGAGAUGGCUGAGUGGUUGAAAGCACCGCACUCGAAAUGCGGCAUAGAGGUGACUCUAUCGGGGGUUCAAAUCCCUCUCUCUCCGCCA
rnacentral:tRNA from 1 species